UACAGAGGGUGCAAGCGUUGUCCGGAUUUAUUGGGCGUAAAGAGCGUGUAGGCGGCUAAAUAGGUCCGUUGUGAAAACUCGAGGCUCAACCUCGAGAUGCCGAUGGAAACCAUUUGGCUAGAGUCCGGAAGAGGAGAGUGGAAUUCCCGGUGUAGCGGUGAAAUGCGCAGAUAUCGGGAAGAACACCCGUGGCUAAGGCGGCUCUCUAGUACGGUACUGACGCUGAGACGCGAAAGCGUGGGGAGCGAACAGG
rnacentral:rRNA from 1 species